rnacentral:rRNA from 1 species
CGCGUAGGCGGUUAUGCUAGUCAGGUGUGAAAUCCCAGGCUUAACUUGGGAACUGCGCUUGAAACUGCAUAGCUUGAGGCCGGGAGAGGAAAGUGGAAUUCCUGGUGUAGCGGUGAAAUGCGUAGAUAUCAGGAGGAACACCGGUGGCGAAGGCGGCUUUCUGGACCGGUUCUGACGCUGAAGCGCGAAAGCGUGGGGAGCAAACG